AACUCCUUCACACACACACACACACACACACACACACACACACACACACACACACACACUUCCAAAACAGGGAAUUAUCUGAGGGCAGGAAAGAGGGACCCUGCCUACACCUGUCUACAAACACCAGGAAAAUGAUCAAGCAGGGCUGUGAGCGAAGUAGGUGGAGUGAUGUCACAAAUGGCAGAAAGCCAAUCAGAGUAGGGCAUGGUGUUUGCUCACCCUGCUAAGUGUCCCCCCAGACUAGCCCAGAGGCUUGCUUGCCCCCCCCAUUUAACUCCUGCCUUAUAACAACAGAAUUCUAGAGCCACUAGCUCUAUAGAGAAAUUCUCUCCCUGUUUCUGGGGAGGCUCUUCUCAUGGAAUUGGGGCACAUCAAGAUUUGCUCUCAGAGGAGGUCCAAUCCAAGAUGGAAGCUAGCCAUCUUGGCAGGAAGAGAAAGCUGUGCUCACAGCCCCCAACCAACAGGUUCAGUCCUUGCUGAGCCUAAAGCCUGGAAUAAGCCCAGGAGUUUCCCUGGCCCUGCCUCCAGAGCCACAAGUGUGCCACAGGGACUGUCACAGGCCACGGGCAGCCAUUAUUAGACAAGCAGAGCUGAAGCUGGAGCCUCCACUGAGAGUCGAUGGAUAGUGACGUCAACGCUGACCUCGCUCCCUGCGCAGUCUCCCUCCUUUCAGCACAGCCCAGUUUUGGGGAGCCCUGCCACGCUGCAUUUACCUUCCCA
rnacentral:lncRNA from 1 species